GCCAGUGUAGCUCAGUGAUUAGAGUGUCGGCCUGCACACCAAAGGGUCAUGGGUUCGAUUCCCGAUCAAGGGCA
rfam:Myotis brandtii contig163620, whole genome shotgun sequence.